rnacentral:lncRNA from 1 species
CUGAGGCCCAGAGAAGGGACAGGACUCACCCAGGGCCACACAGCGAGGCUAAGGCAGAGGGAAAACCAGAAUCCAUGUGGCUCCCCCCAGACUCAGUGUGUGGCUGGUCACUGCUGAUGGCUCACCCACCAGGGACAGGAGGAGGAGGAGGAGAAGGGCAAAAAGGAGGAGGAAGAGAAUGAGGAGGAGGAGUUGGGGAGGAAGGGGGGGAGGAGGAGGAAGAGAGGAGGAGAAGGAACUGAAGGAAGAAGAGGAAGAGGAGGAGGAGGGAAGUAGGAGGAAGAGGAGGAAGGGAGCAGGAGGUAUCUGUGGGCUCUCAUUGCCCAGUUUCGUCCUCUGUGGGGAAGGCCGGUGGGAGCCUGUCACGGCUCAUUGGUCUCUGCGCUGCCUGGCGGCUUUCACACAAUAGCAGGUUUCAGUAGCUGUGGGAGAGCCCCCAUGGCCCUUGAAGAUUAAGGAAACAGGACUCCCAGGAUAAAAAGUUCCCUUUCUAACCAGACCAGCUGAGACUGGUUGAAACCAAGAUAGCUGACCGAGAAACUUCAAAAAGACCUUCAGCCUUAUUAUCAUCUCAUUUCCAUGCUCAGUGACACGCCCACAGUGCCAUGAUGGUUGGAAAUCACCAUGACGAUGACUGGAGGAAGGAAGGUCGCGCUCCGGUUCCAGGAAGCUCACUGCCCGCUCCCGGAAAAGACAUGAAUAUUCCUCCCCUUGCUUGGGCCACGGAAUGAAGCCUGCACUGCGGACACUCACUUUCGGUUUCAUGUAUUGGCUUCGUGACACCCCACAGCGAAAGACCCUCUGUUCUGGGGGAAUGACUGUGUUGGUGACAAAACCAUGCUUUCUGGAUCACUGUGGUAUUACGGCAGGGCUUGAAGUCAGGUAUGUGGGUUCUCCAACUCUGUUCUUUUUUCUUCCUCAUGGUGUUGGCUGUCCGAGGACUUUCGCCUUUCCAUAUGAACUUUAGACUCAGGUGGCAUCGCCUGCAGAAUGCCUUGCUGGGAUUGGCCGGGAUUGAACGUUAGACUCAGGUGGCAUCACCUGCAGAAUGCCUUGCUGGGAUUGGCCGGGAUUGAACGUUAGACUCAGGUGGCAUCACCUGCAGAAUGCCUUGCUGGGACUGGCUGGGAUUGAACGUUAGACUCAGGUGGCAUCGCCUGCAGAAUGCCUUGCGGGGAUUGGCUGGGAUUGAACGUUAGACUCAGGUGGCAUCGCCUGCAGAAUGCCUUGAGGGGAUUGGCCGGGAUUGAACGUUAGACUCAGGUGGCAUCGCCUGCAGAAUGCUUUGCUGGGAUUGGCUGGGAUUGAACGUUAGACUCAGGUGGCAUCGCCUGCAGAAUGCCUUGCUGGGAUUGGCCGGGAUUGAACGUUAGACUCAGGUGGCAUCGCCUGCAGAAUGCCUUGCUGGGAUUGGCCGGGAUUGAACGUUAGACUCAGGUGGCAUCACCUGCAGAAUGCCUUGCUGGGAUUGGCUGGGAUUGAACGUUAGACUCAGGUGGCAUCGCCUGCAGAAUGCCUUGCGGGGAUUGGCUGGGAUUGCAGCGAAUCACCUCUUGGCUCUAAUAGCCAAAAUUCAUAGCUGUGCAGAACUCUCUUUGAAAAAAUGGCCAAUGAUUACAUAAGAGUGAAUCCAAUUCCCAUUAACAAAUCUUAAUAUAAUACAUCCAACAAAGCUACGUGUAGAAACUAAGUGACAUCAAACAUAUGCUUGUCGUAAUCACGUGUGUUGAAAACUGUGUUGAAAAGUGCACCAGGUGCCAGUAGGGGCCAAGGGACCUAGGCCCCUUGCCAAGGUCAGCGCAUGCUGACCUGCGCUGGUGGUCGGGUGGAGGGCUCCAUUUGCAAACAGGCGACAGUUGGCUGCCAAUCUUGUUGAUCAUUUAUUUGCUGAUCAAAAAGGAAUUCUGUCAGUACUGUGCACCCUAACACAAUAUUUGGACCUUCAUACAUGUAUUAGUCGGUUUUCCUGCUGCUAAUAAAGACAUACCCAAGACUGGGUAAUUUAUAAAGGAAAGAGGUUUAAUGGACUCACAGUUCCGCAUGGCUGGGGAGGCCUCACAAUCAUGGUGAAUGGCAAAGGAGGAGCAAAGUUGCAUCUUACAUGGCAGCAAGCAAGAGGCCUUGUGCAGGGGAACUCCCAUUUAUAAAACCAUUAGAUCUCAUGAGACUUACUCACUAUCACGAGAACGGCAUGGGAAAUGUCUGCCUCCAUGAUUCAAUUACUUCCCACCAGGUCCCUCCCACAACACAUGGGAAUUAUGGGAGCUACAAUUCAAGAUGAGAUUUGGGUGGGGACUCAGCCAAACCAUAUCGAUACAUAAGCAUUUUACUGGGCUUUGGCUGUAUUAAGGGAUUGAUUGGAGAUUUUAAGAUCAUACAUUAUAAUUUUUCCCAUUUAAAAUAAUGCAAAAUGUGUUCUUCAUUGAUGCUUCCAAGCACAGAUUCUGACAUUUUGCAACAGGAUUCCAAUGUUAAGAGAAAGCUCCGUGUCACUUACUGGUUCUGAUGGGUCAGACCUGGACUCGGGGAAUGGAGGGGCUGGGUUCCUCCUAAACCACAGGGACUGAGGUGGGGUACGAGUGACUACCCAAAAGAACACUGGGGUUCAUUUAGCAACAGGAUGGGAAAUGGAUACUGAAAAGCAAAAUAACAAAUUUUACAAAAAUGUUUUCUGUCCAAGAAUUAAAUAUGUGACACAUCAAUGUGUUCAAUGUCCUUACAUAUUAUGCGUAAGACAUCUGGGCACAGAUAGGAAGGCAGGACAGGUCUGAGCACCUCCCGCCACCUCUCCCCUCCCGGCUCAGGAAAGCUGCUCACAGCUGCAGCCAGCCCGGCCCCCCGCCCUCACCUGCUCCCCCUGCUGUCUCCAGAGUCCCUGGGCUUUCUCCCCCUCCACCUGUUUCCUCUCCUUGGGCUGCCUCUCCCAGGCUAAACAUGCCCGGGGCACAUCAGUGUUGAAAAGAGCUGUUUCUCUGCUGUCCUCACCCCUAAGCUACAGGCUACACCUUGUUUCCCACCCACGGAGAAUCUUCUAGGGAAAUUAGUGCACAGGAUAAGCUUUUAACAGAUUAUCAGAAACGUUUUCAUCCUAGUGUUUCCUGUGACCAUGUGGCCCGCCCAUCCAGGAUGGUCUGCAUCCAGGGAAAGAUGGGGAAGAGGGGAGGGCAGGCCCAGUGGGGGCCUCCCCACCCACAGGCCCCUCCUCCUCCUGAUGGAGCAGCCCCAUCUGCUACAAGCACUCCCCAGGGGUGCGGGGUUCAUGCUUAGAGCAGCAAUCAUUCCUGUUUAUCUGAAAUUCAAAUCUGCCUGGCAUCAGGUACAUUCAUUUACUAACCUGCAGCUCCACCUGGAAUGAUUUGGGACAGCCCUUCCCAUCUCCCUGGGAAGGAUCAGUGGUGUUUGGACAGGCACUUUGCACCCUGGGUGCCUGUGAGGUGGGUUCCCCUUCAAGAAGAGGCCUAACCAGUGCUCCUGCUCCCUGGGUCGGGUCUCCUCACAGCCCAGGGUCUGGGUGGUCUGCAGGGCAGGCUGUUCUCUGUUCCUCCAGCAAGGAUGACCACUGCAGGUGGGGCUGCAGGGAGGCCAGGUGCUACCAGGUAGAGGCCAGAGCUGGGUCGCUCAGUUCGCUCUGCUCUUGUCCUCAGACCCCGAUGCCAGCUCUAGAAAGAGGGGCCCUUUUGCCUUGGCCUCUCCAUGGGGCACAGGCCUCCCUCCCCACCCCACCACGGCAGUGGGGGCAUGAGCUCCAGGGACACCUGCUUUCCUCACAGCCCUGCCCUGAGGACGCUGAUUUGCCUUCUUGCCACAGGUCCAGAAAAGUCUGGAUUUGAUCCUGGCACCGAGGAGGGUCUCUGUGAGCUUGGACUCCUCUCCUGACAGGGGGAAGGGCAGGGCCAGUGCAUCUCACAGCCAUGGCAGGCUGAUGGGACUGUCACACAGCUUUUUGGCCUUGAACUCAGGGCUUAAUGUUAUCAUAUCACUUAAUACUCCCAGGGACCUGGGUGAGGUACAGUCCCAUUCCCAUUUGACAGAGAGGAGGCUGGGGUGCACUGAGAGGUAAUCAGUGUGCUGGCGACAUUUAACAGCCAGCUCUCCAGAAACAUAAAUCACCCUGAUUUGUGGAGAUUGCCAGGUUCCCAGGCACAAAUAUUCCCAGCACAUCCAAUUUCAAGUGCUAGCAGUUUAACAACUGGCUCAUAAAACCCCUGAAAAUGUGAGAGUCGGCUCCCACAAGCUGCUGUGGGACAGCCCCAGCUCCCUGAUAACCUUCUAGGACCUGCCCUAGUUGGGGAGGAGACGGAUCCAGACCCCAAGGGCCUGGACACCAGGGGGGCUCCACUCAGAUCCUCUGGCCCUCACCAUUCCCAGGACCCCCUCUUGGGCUUCUGUGUUCUUCUCUCUCCAGGGCUGGCUCCUGACACUCCUCUUUAAACAACUGUCCUUAGGCCACUGAGCCCGACCAGCCCCACUGCAGUGAGCCGAAGUGGCCUGGGGGCCAGCCAUGCUGAAGCUGCCUCCUCCCAGCUUGUGGGAUAUGAUUUUGGUGUUUACAGUUUUCAGGAAUUAUAUAAACCAGGUAUGACACAGGCUGAACAUCAGUCAUGGUGAAAUUAUUCACAUCCCAGGAACCUGGCAGGGGCUGUGCUGCUGCUGCCCCUGGGAGUGAGUUGUCCCACACUCAGCAGCUCGCCCUGUCUCAUCCUCCCCACCUAGCGAGGCUUUGACCAGUGACGGGGGUGUGGGAACCUCCAACAGGGCGGCUGAGGCUGGGUUCACGCUCCAGGGCGCCCCUGCAGGACCACAAGGAAGCCAUUGCAGUCAGGAGACCUGGCGCUCAAAGCUUCGCUUAUCCUGACCCUGUGCCUCUCCCCGCUCCCUCCCGGCCCUCCCUUCACGCGUCACCUGUUCCCAAGUCCUCAUCCCAGGAUCUGCUUCCGGGGACCAGGCCUGAUAGGCUCCAAAGCUCUGCUCUUAACCAGCACCGCAACUGGAGGAAAAGCAGGAGGCAUUUGGCUGUUGAUGAUCAUGACAUUUUCAUUAUUCUGUGUGGUUUGGGUUUAUUUUACCCAAGGAGCACAGUCCACAGAAAAUAGAACAUUUCAGGAAUACCAACCAAGCUAAGUAACAUGUUCACAUGAUAUUUAUUAAAACUGUGAUGAAACCGGCUCCACAAACCGUUGAUAGAAGAUGGGCUGUGUAAAACCGGUACUGGGAAAACGGGUUGUCUGUGUGGAGGAAAGUAAGACUGAAUCGCUAACCAAUACUGCAAAC